AAACAAAGAUAGAAUCCUACACAUCUAUCCGCCUGAUACUACGAGCGCAAGCUUAAAACUCAAGGGACUUGGCGGCGCUUUAUAACCAUCUAGAGGAGCCUGUCUAGAACCGAUUCCCCCCGUUCAACCUCACCCUCUCUUGCUUUUUCCCGUCUAUAUACCGCCGUCGUCAGCUUACCCUUUGAAGGACAAAUAGUGAGCAAAACUGGUAAAACCCAAAACGUCAGGUCGAGGUGUAGCGUAUGGGAGGGGAAGCAAUGGGCNACAUUCGCUUACUCAAGCGAGCACCCGAGCCAUUAACUGAAAAUGUUUGGUAGAUUAAGGAUUUAGCAGUAAGCGAGAGAGUAGAGCGCCGC
rnacentral:rRNA from 1 species